UUCCUAUCACACAACUUUCAAUAAUAAAUACACAGUAACCCAAUUCUUCAAAACACAGAAAAUUCAUGAUGCCGAAAACCCAGUUAGAAAAAACAAAAAUUGAUACCGUAGAAGUAAGAUCCGUGAUGGACAAAGCCCGUUUGUUCCUGAAGCGGUGAAGAAAGGAAUCAGGAAGAGGGUGCUUUUUCUUGCGGGUUGGUAAGUCCUCAAUAUCACUGCCACUCGAUAACCUUCUUUUGGACGCAAUGGUGAUGGAUAACGCAUUAUUGUGAAGGGGUGAUUUUGAAGAAGAAGAAGAAGAACGAAUUGCGGAGCAAGAACGAGUGGAAGCGAAAGCGAAAGCAGCUUCAAUGAGAGCCAUUUCGUCGUCGCUGAUUAUUUUGAUGGGUAUAUGAUGUGGAUUCUGGUCCUCCGAGGAAGAUGAUGCCAUGUUCGUGUCGUGACCGUUGAAAACGCCGC
rnacentral:lncRNA from 1 species